rnacentral:rRNA from 1 species
UAUGUGAUCGUCUCUCGCAUAUCAAUAAGCGGAGGAAAAGAAACUAACAAGGAUUCCCCUAGUAACGGCGAGUGAAGCGGGAAGAGCUCAAAUUUGAAAUCUUAAAGGGUUUCCCUUUACGAAUUGUAGUUUAAAGAAGUGUUUUCUGUUGAGGUUUUGGUAAAAGUUCUUUGGAAUAGGACAUCAUAGAGGGUGAGAAUCCCGUAUUCGACCUUUACUUUCAACUUUGUGAUACACUUUCAAAGAGUCGGAUUGUUUGGGAAUGCAGUCCAAAAUGGGUGGUAAAUUUCAUCUAAAGCUAAAUAUUGGCGAGAGACCGAUAGCGAACAAGUACCGUGAGGGAAAGAUGAAAAGAACUUUGAAAAGAGAGUUAAACAGUACGUGAAAUUGUCAAAAGGGAAGCGUUUGACACCAGUGUUGUUUUUCUGAAAAUCAAUUAAAGAACUGUUUAUGCUAAGUUGUUUAGACUUUAUCAGCUUAACUGUUUAGUUUUGAGCUUUUCUUUAAUGCACUUUUCAGUUAACAAGUCAACAUCAAUUUCUUUUGCUGUAAAAAAGCUUGAGGAAGGUGGCUUGAGAUUCGUCUUAAGUGUUUAUAGCCUCUUGCCUAUGCAGUCGGAGAGAUUGAGGUCUGCAGCGUAGAUCCUUCGGGGCUAAAUGCAUUUGUGCUAAGUUAUAGCAUUUUAUAGACAACUUGUUGACUAUGAUUUGUCUUGUAGCUUACUCGCUUAUGUUAUUUUACCUACGCUUAGGAUGUUGAUAUCGCGCUCUCACUG